rnacentral:hammerhead_ribozyme from 1 species
GCAAUACUGACGAGUCCUAAACAGGACGAAACAGCUGUCCAGUAC